GGAUGUAAGGGCGAUCUGACUGUGACAUCUGUCACUGCAGUGAUUGCCAGGGUUGCUUCCUCUAAUCUGCCUGGCUAGGCGGGUGUCCCUUUCCUCCCUCAAUGCUCCCAAAGCUGCAGAGGCUCAUUCAAAGAGGACAGGAAGGCCUUCCACCAAAUAGAGAAGGGCUGGUCUUUCGUCAAGGGUGUACGAGUAGCUGCGUUCACCUCCAAACAAGAUCUCAAGUUCCUUUCUCAUGAAUUUAAAGACUGGGAUUCAGAAACCACAAAAGGUCGGUUUU
rnacentral:snRNA from 1 species